GCUAGCUACCUUGAAGUAAGAGGUAAAGAUCUCUUAUAAUAAUAAAAAGAAGCAGAAAUUUCGCUUCAAGAUGUUAGGCAAUAUUCUGGAAGAGUACUAGUAAUAAACUAGCUCGUGUUCCAGCAGUCGAGACUGAGAGGUCGAUCGACCACAUUGGGUAUGAAAAAAGCCCAAGGCGAACAGCACAGCAGUGAGGAAUAUUGGUCAAUGGUCUAACGACUGAACCAGCAAUUUGGAAGAACGUAUAAUAAAUAAAUUAUUUAAAGUUCUAGAUAAAAUAUUUAUAAUGACUAUUUUUUAUCUAUAAGUCUUGGCCAAAUUACGUGCCAGCAGUCGCGGUAAUACGUAAAAGACGAGUGUUAUUCAUCUUUAAUCGGUUUAAAGGGUACCUAGACGGAAAAUCAAGCUUAAUUAAACUAAGGACUAGUUUUCUAGAGUUUGACAUGAGAAGGUACGAACUAUCAGAGGAGAGAUAAAAUUUGUUGAUACUGGUGGGACGGACAACGGCGAAGGCAAUCUUCUACUAAAAACUGACGUUGAGGGACGAAGCCUUGGGGAGCGAGAAGGAUUAGAUACCCUAGUAGUCCUUGGAGAAAAUUAUGAGUGCCAUAGACUAAAGUGAAAAAGAAGUUCUUUUAAAAGAACUUUGUAUCUGAGCCUUAAUUGGAUACAAAGGUCUCGAGUAGCAGUUUAUAAAUGAAAGUGUAAGCAUUCCACCUCAUGACUAAAGCGGCAACGCCCAAAUUGAAAUCAUUAGACCGUUUCUGAAACCAGUAGUGAAGUAUGUUAUUUAAUUCGAUAACCCGCGAAUAACCUUACCACGUUUUGAAUUUAUUAAACAAGUGUUGCACGGCUGUCUUCAGUUAAUGUCGUGAGAUUUUGGUUUGUUCCAUUAAUUAACGAAAACCCUUGUUUCAUUUUUAUAUGAAAUAGUUCACCGUUAUAUUGGAAAGAUAAAAGGGAUCAAGACAAGUCAUCAUGGC
rnacentral:rRNA from 1 species